rnacentral:rRNA from 3 species
UGGAGAGUUUGAUCCUGGCUCAGGACGAACGCUGGCGGCGUGCUUAACACAUGCAAGUCGAGCGGAAAGGCCCCUUCGGGGGUACUCGAGCGGCGAACGGGUGAGUAACA